GACGAACGCUGGCGGCGUGCUUAACACAUGCAAGUCGAACGAUGAAGCCGGAGCUUGCUCUGGUGAAUUAGUGGCGAACGGGUGAGUAACACGUGAGUAACCUGCCCUUGACUCUGGGAUAACUGCGGGAAACUGUAGCUAAUACCGGAUACGACCCUCGGAGGCAUCUCCUGGGGGUGGAAAGAAUUUCGGUCAAGGAUGGACUCGCGGCCUAUCAGCUAGUUGGUGAGGUAAAGGCUCACCAAGGCGACGACGGGUAGCCGGCCUGAGAGGGUGACCGGCCACACUGGGACUGAGACACGGCCCAGACUCCUACGGGAGGCAGCAGUGGGGAAUAUUGCACAAUGGGCGCAAGCCUGAUGCAGCAAUGCCGCGUGAAUGAAGAAGGCCUUAGGGUUGUAAAGUUCUUUUGUCCGUGACGAUAAUGACGGUAGCGGACGAAUAAGCCCUGGCUAACUCUGUGCCAGCCGCCGCGGUAA
rnacentral:rRNA from 1 species